rnacentral:lncRNA from 1 species
GCGCUUACUGCUGCGCUGCUGCUCGGUCAGCCAGCGUCUGGGAUGGGAGCGCUCCUGCAUUUUACAUGACUGCGGGGCCUGUUCCUUGCGCCUGUCUGGUCGCGUCACAUCAUGGAGGGUUUCUCGGGGCGGCCGGCCGCCUCUGAGCACAGCCAGGGUGGUGUUUGCAGCACAGCUGCUGCCUAGGCCUCGCUGCGGAGGUGCUGGGCCACGGCCCCGUGGAGGCAGAGCCGCAGGGCCAUCGACAUGUCCUUUGAAAACGGGCAUUUCCCCAACUCAUGCAGGUGGAGGGGAGAGCGAAGCCAAAUGGGACACCGGCCCCCACACACUGCCCCGGCUCCUGCAUUUCCGGAGAUGGAAACCUGGAGAGCAGCUGGGAUCUUGAAAACGUGGGUUGGACUGCGUCACCCCGACCCCUGCCUCAAAGCCCCUCCGUGGUUGCCUACAGCACAGCUUGAAGCCCCUUGGUUCUGCUUCCCGGGCCUGCAGCGCUGGCCCCAGCCUGGCCGAGCGAGCAUUUGUUCACCCAAGACCUUUCCCCUCCUGCCCUCGUGGAGCCUCCACAAGGAGUAAACAACCACUUCUGAUGUGCACGGUUUCCACGACAAUGCCCACUGCACGCCUUAUGGCCUCACCAGAGACGUAAAGCAGAUGCCAAGAAACUUCCCCCCAAAAUGGGCUGGCUUGCCAAGCCCAGGACCGCCUGUCCAGCUGGGGCUGGGGGCAAGGAUCCCAUUUUCUGUGACUCUCUUUGCUCUGAUGGUCAGGUUCACCGGCCGUACGUGUAAUCUGAAGCAUUCGGUAGCGAUCUAAUUAAAUGUUAACACAUCAUUAAAGUGAUUUGCGAUAAGCACA